rnacentral:rRNA from 1 species
GAUGAACGCUGGCGGCGUGCCUAACACAUGCAAGUCGAACGCUCGCAAGAGAGUGGCGCACGGGUGAGUAACACGUAGCUAAUCUGCCCUCAAGACAAGGAUAACUGUAGGAAACUACUGCUAAUACUUGAUAAGCUUACGGACUGUAGAGGUCUAUAAGAAAGAUUUAUCGCCCAAGGAUGAGCCCGCGUAGGAUUAGCUAGUUGGUGAGGUAAAGGCUCACCAAGGCGACGAUCCUUAGCUGGUCUGAGAGGAUGAUCAGCCACACUGGGACUGAGACACGGCCCAGACUCCUACGGGAGGCAGCAGUGGGGGAAUAUUGGACAAUGGGCGAAAGCCUGAUCCAGCAAUGCCGCGUGAGUGAUGAAGGCCUUAGGGUUGUAAAGCUCUUUUACCCGGGAAGAUAAUGACUGUACCGGGAGAAUAAGCCCCGGCUAACUCCGUGCCAGCAGCCGCGGUAAU